rnacentral:rRNA from 1 species
UACGUAGGUGGCGAGCGUUAUCCGGAUUUACUGGGUGUAAAGGGUGUGUAGGCGGGACUGCAAGUCAGAUGUGAAAAUCACGGGCUUAACCUGUGACCUGCAUUUGAAACUGUGGUUCUUGAGGGUCGGAGAGGUAACUGGAAUUCCUGGUGUAGCGGUGAAAUGCGUAGAUAUCAGGAGGAACACCGGUGGCGAAGGCGGGUUACUGGACGAUUACUGACGCUGAGACACGAAAGCGUGGGGAGCAA